rnacentral:rRNA from 1 species
UACGGAAGGGGCAAGCGUUGUUCGGAAUCAUUGGGCGUAAAGGGCGCGUAGGUGGUUCUGUAUGUCUAUCGUGAAAGCAUACAGCUCAACUGUAUUUUGUCGGUAGAAACUGCAGGACUUGAGGCUGGGAGGGGCUGGUGGAAUUCCCUGUGUAGCGGUGAAAUGCGUAGAGAUGGGGGAGAACACUCGUGGCGAAGGCGGCCAGCUAGACCAGUUCUGACACUGAGGCGCGACAGCGUGGGGAGCAAACGGG